UACGGAGGGGGUUAGCGUUGUUCGGAAUUACUGGGCGUAAAGCGCACGUAGGCGGAUUAGAAAGUUAGAGGUGAAAUCCCGGGGCUCAACCCCGGAACUGCCUUUAAAACUACUAGUCUAGAGUUCGAGAGAGGUGAGUGGAAUUUCUAGUGUAGAGGUGAAAUUCGUAGAUAUUAGAAAGAACACCAAAAGCGAAGGCAACUUACUGGGUCACUACUGACGCUGAGGUGCGAAAGUGUGGGGAGCAAACAGG
rnacentral:rRNA from 1 species